UACGGAGGAUCCGAGCGUUAUCCGGAUUUAUUGGGUUUAAAGGGAGCGUAGGUGGACUGGUAAGUCAGUUGUGAAAGUUUGCGGCUCAACCGUAAAAUUGCAGUUGAUACUGUCAGUCUUGAGUACAGUAGAGGUGGGCGGAAUUCGUGGUGUAGCGGUGAAAUGCUUAGAUAUCACGAAGAACUCCGAUUGCGAAGGCAGCUCACUGGACUGCAACUGACACUGAUGCUCGAAAGUGUGGGUAUCAAACAGGAUUAGAUACCCUGGUAGUCCACACAGUAAACGAUGAGUACUCGCUGUUUGCGAUAUACAGUAAGCGGCCAAGCGAAAGCAUUAAGUAUUCCACCUGGGGAGUACGCCGGCAACGGUGAA
rnacentral:rRNA from 1 species